GCGCUGGUCGUCUAGUGGUCCAGGACAUUGUCUUCCCAAGGGAAAAGGCAGGUACGCGGGUUCGAACCCCGCCCGGCGCA
rnacentral:tRNA from 1 species